UAGGGAAUAUUGCACAAUGGAGGAAACUCUGAUGCAGCGACGCCGCGUGAGUGAUGAAGGCCUUCGGGUUGUAAAGCUCUGUUCUUAGGGAAAAAGCAAGUGAUUGUACCUAAGGAGAAAGGACCGGCUAACUUCGUGCCAGCAGCCGCGGUAAGACGAGGGGUCCAAGCGUUGUUCGGAAUUAUUGGGCGUAAAGCGGGUGUAGGUGGAUCUAUAAGUCAGGAGUGAAAGCCCCGAGCUUAACUUGGGAAGUGCUUUUGAUACUGUAGAUCUUGAAUGUGGGAGAGGAUCGUGGAAUUCCAGGUGUAGUGGUGAAAUACGUAGAUAUCUGGAGGAACACCGGUGGCGAAGGCGGCGAUCUGGCCCAACAUUGACACUGAGACCCGAAAGUGCGGGGAUCAAACA
rnacentral:rRNA from 1 species